rnacentral:rRNA from 1 species
UGCCGCGUGAAUGAUGAAGGUCUUGGGAUUGUAAAAUUCUUUCACCGGGGAAGAUAAUGACGGUACCCGGAGAAGAUGCCCCGGCUAACUUCGUGC